rnacentral:rRNA from 1 species
UACGUAGGGGGCUAGCGUUGUCCGGAUUUAUUGGGCGUAAAGAGCUUGUAGGCGGUUUGUCGCGUCUGCUGUGAAAUUUCGGGGCUCAACCCCGAACUUGCAGUGGGUACGGGCGGACUAGAGUGUGGUAGGGGAGACUGGAAUUCCUGGUGUAGCGGUGAAAUGCGCAGAUAUCAGGAGGAACACCGAUGGCGAAGGCAGGUCUCUGGGCCAUAACUGACGCUGAGAAGCGAAAGCAUGGGGAGCGAACAGG